GAUGAACGCUGGCGGCGUGCCUAAUACAUGCAAGUCGAACGCGCAGCGAAAGGUGCUUGCACCUUUCAAGCGAGUGGCGAACGGGUGAGUAACACGUGGAUAACCUACCUCAAGGCUGGGGAUAACAUUUGGAAACAGAUGCUAAUACCGAAUAAAACUUAGUAUCGCAUGAUACCAGGUUAAAAGGCGCUACGGCGUCACCUAGAGAUGGAUCCGCGGUGCAUUAGUUAGUUGGUGGGGUAAAGGCUUACCAAGACAAUGAUGCGUAGCCGAGUUGAGAGACUGAUCGGCCACAUUGGGACUGAGACACGGCCCAAACUCCUACGGGAGGCUGCAGUAGGGAAUCUUCCACAAUGGGCGCAAGCCUGAUGGAGCAACGCCGCGUGUGUGAUGAAGGCUUUCGGGUCGUAAAGCACUGUUGUAUGGGAAGAAAUGCUAGAAUAGGGAAUGAUUUUAGUUUGACGGUACCAUACCAGAAAGGGACGGCUAAAUACGUGCCAGCAGCCGCGGUAAUACGUAUGUCCCGAGCGUUAUCCGGAUUUAUUGGGCGUAAAGCGAGCGCAGACGGUUGAUUAAGUCUGAUGUGAAAGCCCGGAGCUCAACUCCGGAAUGGCAUUGGAAACUGGUUAACUUGAGUGUUGUAGAGGUAAGUGGAACUCCAUGUGUAGCGGUGGAAUGCGUAGAUAUAUGGAAGAACACCAGUGGCGAAGGCGGCUUACUGGACAACAACUGACGUUGAGGCUCGAAAGUGUGGGUAGCAAACAGGAUUAGAUACCCUGGUAGUCCACACCGUAAACGAUGAAUACUAGGUGUUAGGAGGUUUCCGCCUCUUAGUGCCGAAGCUAACGCAUUAAGUAUUCCGCCUGGGGAGUACGACCGCAAGGUUGAAACUCAAAGGAAUUGACGGGGACCCGCACAAGCGGUGGAGCAUGUGGUUUAAUUCGAAGCAACGCGAAGAACCUUACCAGGUCUUGACAUCCUUUGAAGCUUUUAGAGAUAGAAGUGUUCUCUUCGGAGACAAAGUGACAGGUGGUGCAUGGUCAUCGUCAGCUCGUGUCGUGAGAUGUUGGGUUAAGUCCCGCAACGAGCGCAACCCUUAUUGUUAGUUGCCAGCAUUCAGUUGGGCACUCUAGCGAGACUGCCGGUGACAAACCGGAGGAAGGCGGGGACGACGUCAGAUCAUCAUGCCCCUUAUGACCUGGGCUACACACGUGCUACAAUGGCGUAUACAACGAGUUGCCAACCUGCGAAGGUGAGCUAAUCUCUUAAAGUACGUCUCAGUUCGGACUGCAGUCUGCAACUCGGCUGCACGAAGUCGGAAUCGCUAGUAAUCGCGGAUCAGCACGCCGCGGUGAAUACGUUCCCGGGUCU
rnacentral:rRNA from 1 species